AUGUUUCUGGUUUAUGAACGGGAGUUGUGCGUUCUCUCUCUGUCUCGCCCUCUGUCUCGCCCUCUGUCUCGCCCUCUGUCUCGCCCUCUGUCUCGCCCUCUGCUCUCUGUCUCGCCCUCUGCUCUCUGUCUCGCUCUCUGCUCUCUGUCUCGCUCUCUGCUCUCUGUCUCGCUCUCUGCUCUCUGUCUCGCUCUCUGUCUCGCUCGCUCUCUCUCUGUCUCGCUCGCUCUGUCUCGCUCGCUCUCUCUCUGUCUCGCUCGCUCUCUCUCUGUCUCGCUCGCUCUCUCUCUGUCUCGCUCGCUCUCUCUCUGUCUCGCUCGCUCUCUCUCUGGCUCGCUCGCUCUCUCUCUGUCUCGCUCGCUCUCUCUCUGUCUCGCUCGCUCUCUCUCUCUCGCUCGCUCUCUCUCUCGCUCUCUCUCUCUGUCUCUCUCUCCUCUCUCUCUCUCUCUCUCUCUCCUCGUCUCGCUCUCUGUCUCGCUCGCUCUCUGUCUCGCUCGCUCUCUGUCUCGCUCGCUCUCUGUCUCGCUCGCUCUCUGUCUCGCUCGCUCUCUGUCUCGCUCGCUCUCUGUCUCGCUCGCUCUCUGUCUCGCUCGCUCGCUCUCUGUCUCGCUCGCUCGCUCUCUGUCUCGCUCGCUCUCUCUCUGGCUCGCUCGCUCGCUCUCUGUCUCGCUCGCUUCGCUCGCUCUCUCUCUGGCUCGCUCGCUCGCUCUCUGUCUCGCUCGCUCUCUCUCUGGCUCGCUCGCUCUCUCUCUGGCUCGCUCGCUCUCUGUCUCGCUCGCUCGCUCUCUGUCUCGCUCGCUCUCUGUCUCGCUCGCUCUCUCUCUGGCUCGCUCGCUCUCUCUCUGGCUCGCUCGCUCUCUCUCUGGCUCGCUCGCUCGCUCUCUGUCUCGCUCGCUCUCUGUCUCGCUCGCUCUCUGUCUCGCUCGCUCGCUCUCUGUCUCGCUCGCUCGCUCUCUGUCUCGCUCGCUCGCUCUCUGGCUCGCUCGCUCGCUCUCUGGCUCGCUCUGGCUCGCUCGCUCUCUGGCUCGCUCGCUCUCUGUCUCGCUCGCUCUCUCGCUCGCUCGCUCUCUCGCUCACUCUCUGUUUCGCUCGCUCUCUCGCUCUCUGUCUCUCUCGCUCUCUGUCUCUCUCGCUCUCUGUCUCUCUCGCGCUCUGUCUCUCUCGCUCUGUCUCUCUCGCUCUGUCUCUCUCGCUCUGUCUCUCUCGCUCUGUCUCUCUCGCUCUCUGUCUCUCUCGCUCUGUCUCUCUCGCUCUCUCGCUCUCUGUCUCUCUCGCUCUCUGUCUCGCUCGCUCGCUCUCUGUCUCGCUCUGGCUCGCUCGCUCUCUGGCUCGCUCGCUCUCUGGCUCGCUCGCUCUCUGUCUCGCUCGCUCUCUGUCUCGCUCGCUCGCUCGCUCUCUCGCUCGCUCUCUCGCUCACUCUCUGUUUCGCUCGCUCUCUCGCUCUCUGUCUCUCUCGCUCUCUGUCUCUCUCGCUCUCUGUCUCUCUCGCGCUCUGUCUCUCUCGCUCUGUCUCUCUCGCUCUGUCUCUCUCGCUCUGUCUCUCUCGCUCUGUCUCUCUCGCUCUGUCUCUCUCGCUCUGUCUCUCUCGCUCUGUCUCUCUCGCUCUCUCGCUCUCUGUCUCUCUCGCUCUGUCUCGCUCGCUCUCUCGCUCUCUGUCUCGCUCGCUCUCUGUUUCGCUCGCUCUCUCGCUCUCUGUCUCUCUCGCUCUCUGUCUCUCUCGCUCUCUCUCUCUCGCUCUCUGUCUCGCUCGCUCUCGCUGUCUCGCUCGCUCGCUCUGUCUCGCUCGCUCGCUCUCUGUCUCGCUCGCUCGCUCUCUGUCUCGUUCGCUCGCUCUCUGUCUCGCUCGCUCGCUCUCUCUUUCUGUCUCGCUCGCUCUCUCUUUCUGUCUCGCUCGCUCGCUCUCUCUCUCUUUCUGUCUCGCUCACUCUCUUUCUGUCUCUCUCGCUCGCUCUCUGUCUCGCUCGCUCUCUGUCUCGCUCGCUCUCUGUCUCGCUCGCUCUCUGUCUUGCUCGCUCGCUCUCUGUCUCGCUCGCUCUCUGGCUCGCUCGCUCGCUGUCUCGCUCGCUCUCGCUCGCUCGCUCUCUGUCUCGCUCGCUCUCUGUCUCGCUCGCUCUCUCUGUCUCGCUCGCUCUCUUGUCUCGCUCGCUCUGUCUCGCUCGCUCUGUCUCGCUCGCUCUGUCUCGCUCGCUCGCUCGCUCGCUCUGUCUCGCUCGCUCUCUCUGUCUCGCUCGCUCUCUGUCUGUCUGUCUCGCUCGCUCUCUCUCUUUCUGUCUCGCUCUUUCUCUCUUUCUGUCUCGCUCGCUCUUUCUCUCUUUCUGUCUCGCUCGCUCUCUCUCUCUUUCUGUCUCGCUCGCUCUCUCUCUCUUUCUGUCUCGCUCGCUCUCUCUAUCUUUCUGUCUCGCUCGCUCUCUCUCUCGCUCUCUGUCUCGCUCGCUCGCUCGCUCUCUGUCCCUGUCUGUCUGUCUGUCUGUCUGUCUGUCUGUCUGUCUGUCUGUCUGUCUGUCCUGUCCUGUCCUGUCCUGUCCUGUCCUGUCUGUUUCCUACACCACAGAAGACCUCUUCUGUGGUAUAGGAGUCGACCAGGGUAGAUGUACAUGCUAG
rnacentral:lncRNA from 8 species